UACAGAGGGUGCAAGCGUUGCUCGGAAUCAUUGGGCGUAAAGGGUAGGUAGGUGGUCUCAUUUGUCUGGGGUGAAAUCCUUGAGCUUAACUCAAGAAGUGCCCCAGAAACGGUGAGACUGGAGUCCUGGAGAGGGUCGUGGAAUUCCCGGUGUAGCGGUGAAAUGCGCAGAUAUCAGGAGGAACACCGGUGGCGAAGGCGGUUCUCUGGGCAUUACCUGACGCUGAGGAGCGAAAGUGUGGGGAGCGAACAGG
rnacentral:rRNA from 1 species